rnacentral:lncRNA from 10 species
GGGCACCUCAGGGACAAGAGCCUGGCGUGUAGGUGGAAGGAAGAGACCCAGAGAUGGGAGCCUGGCACCAGCAGCCAGAGCCUCAGCUUCCAUAUCUGUAAACUGGGGAGAAUAACCUCCUAUACCUAUGCCAGGAGCCUCUGGGACGUGCCAGAAAGGAGUGAGAAAGAGCUGAAAGCAGGAGAGUGUGGUGACUGCGGAAGGUCCUUCAGAUCUGCAGGCGCAGGGGGAAAGAGAGAACAGAGGACGGAAGAUCGGAGAUGAUAUUCAGAGAGGCAAGGACACAGAUCCACGGAAAGACGACAUAGGAGGACGAGAAAGAAGAGCUGCAAACAGAGACAGAGACACACGGAGAGAGAGACUGAGAUGAGAGCUCAAGGCCUGGAGAGAAAAAAGACAUGGAAAGAUAAGAUAGGUAAGGGAGCAUAAUGAAGCAAGAAAGAGGCUUAGAAAAAGAAAGAGACUCAGAAAAAGGAAUGAAAGAGACAGUGAUAUGCAGAGAUGAAUACCAAGAGAGAGUAGAGGCAAGGGUAAAUGUUUAAAAACCCAGA